UCUGAAACCCUUUAAAAAAAGAAAAACUGUUUCCAGAGAAUGAUCAAAGCGGGUGAGGAUGGGUGAGAGAGGGAGGUAGGUCAAAGACACAAGACCUCGCACAAUCAAGCGACACUUAGACCUUCAUUUGAGUAUUCCGUGUUGUCUGCUAUCCCGUACACCCCACUCUGAUGCAGUGACACCUAUGUAGUUAAAAAGGGGUCCCCUUGUCACCCCAGACCAACAGCCCGCCCAUCGACUGCUCUGGCUGUACCCCCUUGCUAUUGGCCCUCCAACUCUGGCACCCUGCCCUGAGCCCCUCAUUAGCAAUUAGGAAAUGUUUCACAAACUGUUCAUUCUUCACAAGUAGAGCAGCGCUCUUUAUCUCUUUAUAUUCUCAUUUGAACAUUUAUUAGUGCUUGGGAUAAAAAGGAAAAAUAAAAGUAAACAGCAUGGCUGAUGCGAAGUGAAAAGUCUUUGUUUGAUGGCAGUCGUUUUCAAACAAAUCCUGCGCCUGUGACGUAUUUACAAGUAACCCAAGCUUAUUAAAGAGGAAGAUUGAUACUAACAAACAUGCAUCCGGAUGAGGGAUAACAAUCAGGAAGUAAUCCAUCUACAGACAAAGGUCACCGCUCACACCGUUCAGGACGCAAGGGCAAGGAGCCAGGACAUUGUUACUGUACAUGUGGGUUGGGCCUAAUCCUUAGCAUCACUAUAUCAAUUCCGAACAGAAAAUCCCUUUAAAUGGAAAACGCAGAUGCUGGCACGGUCGACAAAUCUGCUGUUUGCACAAAUAUUAAUAAUAUGUCUAAAAUGUCCCUCUAAAAAGCAGUGUUUUAAUUCACU